GGGUGAUUAGCUCAGCUGGUAGAGCGCUUCGUUUACACCGAAGAUGUCGGCGGUUCGAAUCCGUCAUCACCCACCA
rnacentral:tRNA from 1 species